CUCAAUGACGAGAACAAAGCAGACGGGCGGUCAGAACCUGAUGUUGUGUUGAGUGUCUGCAUGUUUGUGCACUCCUUUUCUGGAGUGCAUCUGAGAG
rnacentral:snoRNA from 1 species